AUGCAGAUUGCUGGACUCAACACCCUCGGCAUCUGAAUUGCGCGCAUUGACUAUGCUCCCUUGGGUCAGAACCCACCACAUACGCACCCUCGCGCCACUGAGAUCCUCACGGUGCUCGAGGGGACACUGUAUGUUGGCUUUGUUACAUCCAACCAGCCCGCCCCAAACAGAAACAAGUUCCUCUCGAAGGUGCUCAACAAAGGUGAUGUGUUCGUCUUCCCCGUGGGGCUCAUCCACUUCCAAUUCAACCCCAACCCCCACAAGCCUGCCGUUGCAAUUGCCGCGCUUAGCAGCCAGAACCCAGGGGCUAUCACAAUUGCCAAUGCGGUGUUUGGGUCAGACCCACAAAUAUCCGAUGAUGUUCUUGCCAAGGCGUUUCAGGUGGAAAAGAAUACAGUAGACUGGCUUCAGGCCCAGUUCUGGGAGAACAACCACAACUAA
rnacentral:rRNA from 1 species